GAUGAAGAACGUAGCGAAAUGCGAUAAGUAAUGUGAAUUGCAGAAUUCAGUGAAUCAUCGAAUCUUUGAACGCACAUUGCGCCCCCUGGUAUUCCGGGGGGCAUGCCUGUUCGAGCGUCAUUUCACCACUCAAGCCUCGCUUGGUAUUGGGCAACGCGGUCCGCCGCGUGCCUCAAAUCGACCGGCUGGGUCUUCUGUCCCCUAAGCGUUGUGGAAACUUUCGCUAAAGGGUGUUCGGGAGGCUACGCCGUAAAACAACCCCAUUUCUAAGGUUGACCUCGGAUCAGGUAGGGAUACCCGCUGAACUUAAGCAUAUCAUAAGCGGAGGA
rnacentral:misc_RNA from 1 species